rnacentral:rRNA from 1 species
AGGUUUUCGGAUCGUAAAGCUCUGUUGUUAGGGAAGAACAAGUACCGUUCGAAUAGGGCGGUACCUUGACGGUACCUAACCAGAAAGCCACGGCUAACUACGUGCCAGCAGCCGCGGUAAUACGUAGGUGGCAAGCGUUGUCCGGAAUUAUUGGGCGUAAAGGGCUCGCAGGCGGUUUCUUAAGUCUGAUGUGAAAGCCCCCGGCUCAACCGGGGAGGGUCAUUGGAAACUGGGGAACUUGAGUGCAGAAGAGGAGAGUGGAAUUCCACGUGUAGCGGUGAAAUGCGUAGAGAUGUGGAGGAACACCAGUGGCGAAGGCGACUCUCUGGUCUGUAACUGACGCUGAGGAGCGAAAGCGUGGGGAGCGAACAGGAUUAGAUACCCUGGUAGUCCACGCCGUAAACGAUGAGUGCUAAGUGUUAGGGGGUUUCCGCCCCUUAGUGCUGCAGCUAACGCAUUAAGCACUCCGCCUGGGGAGUACGGUCGCAAGACUGAAACUCAAAGGAAUUGACGGGGGCCCGCACAAGCGGUGGAGCAUGUGGUUUAAUUCGAAGCAACGCGAAGAACCUUACCAGGUCUUGACAUCCUCUGACAAUCCUAGAGAUAGGACGUCCCCUUCGGGGGCAGAGUGACAGGUGGUGCAUGGUUGUCGUCAGCUCGUGUCGUGAGAUGUUGGGUUAAGUCCCGCAACGAGCGCAACCCUUG